rnacentral:tRNA from 1 species
GCUAUUGAAGCAAUUCCUGCAUUGAUUUUGUAAAUCAAAAAAGAAUAAAUAAAUUAUUCCUAUAGUA